CUUGUAUCUUUUACAAGAUUUGAAUUUGUAAUACUCAGUCUAUGCAGUUUUUGGAGCACAUUUUACAGUUUACGGUUCAUCAGUUUGGAAUGAGAUGUACCAAUCGGCAUUAGAAUUAUCAGAACCCUUCGAUAUCGUUGAAAAUAUGCCGAGGCGAUGUGGUCGACAGACUACCAGAGCCAAUCACCCUGCAAACACGCCAAAACAGUAUUGGAAAGUCUCAUUAUUUUUUGCUUAUGUUGAAAACAAAUGUACGAUCAACAAUGAACGACGACAGUUACUAGCAUUACUGCAUAUUCAUCGGCAUUUCAGUGUGAAUAUUGACAAUUAAAGUAAUAGAGAAGUUUGUUUCUGC
rnacentral:lncRNA from 1 species